UACGUAGGGCGCAAGCGUUGUCCGGAAUUACUGGGCGUAAAGGGCUCGUAGGCGGCCAACUAAGUCGGACGUGAAAUCCCUCGGCUUAACCGGGGAACUGCGUCUGAUACUGGAUGGCUUGAAUCCGGGAGAGGGAUGCGGAAUUCCAGGUGUAGCGGUGAAAUGCGUAGAUAUCUGGAGGAACACCGGUGGCGAAGGCGGCAUCCUGGACCGGCAUUGACGCUGAGGAGCGAAAGCCAGGGGAGCAAACGGG
rnacentral:rRNA from 1 species